CAUCCAAUGAACACGACAACAGCACGACCGCCGCGGCGUGUCGCGUAGCGUAGCGUAGCGUCGUCGGGCACCCGGAUCACCAGAGCGCCGCGCGACGACGGCGACAAAGACUACAGGAACGACGACGAUAACGACAACAACGACGUCGACGGUGGCGAAGACGUCGUCGUCUCGACCGCGGCGGCGUAUCGCACAAGAUGAGACGGAUCACCUUGAAGACUUAUUUCACGGCGUGUAUCUCCUUCAAUUGUGCUGAUAGUUAGAACUUUAUCUUCACUUGCCAAGGCAAGAAGACCAUCUACUGACCAUGCACCGCACACAAUACGCUUCUUAUGCUUCCCCAAAAUAGCUCAAUCCAUCUCUGACACCUGCAUCUAUCUGGGACUUUUUUCCAGUUGUCGCAUCCCAUAGAAUUAUGCUUGACGAAUUCUGUGCUAUUAUUGCCAG